rnacentral:lncRNA from 1 species
CUAUCUAACUUGGGCUUUCCUGUUUUGUACAUUAGACAUGGACGUUGCAAGAGAGAAGCUACGAGUGAAACCCAACGGAAUGAUACCUCAUAUGACAUAGCUGACACAUCUCUUUUCUCUCCUGGACUCAGGGAGCCUGGAGUCAGAGGGAAUGAGCCCUGGGAGCCUGGGACCUGGUCAGGUGAAUGCCCUCCAUCCAGACCUGACCCACAUCAGCAAUCACAAUCACCAGCCCUGAAGUCAGGAGGACCUGAGUUCAAAUGUGACCUCAGACACUUAACACUUCUUAUUUGUGGAACCCUGGAUAAGUCACUUAAUACCAAUUAACCUCAGCAAAAAAGAAGAAGAAAAGAAUGUAUAGAAGGACUUUUUUUUCUUUUUU